rnacentral:rRNA from 1 species
CAGUCGCCGCGGGAAUACGAAGGGGGCUAGCGUUGUUCGGAAUUACUGGGCGUAAAGCGCACGUAGGCGGAUUUUUAAGUCAGGGGUGAAAUCCCGAGGCUCAACCUCGGAACUGCCUUUGAUACUGGAGAUCUUGAGUUCGGAAGAGGUUGGUGGAACAGCUAGUGUAGAGGUGAAAUUCGUAGAUAUUAGCUAGAACACCAGUGGCGAAGGCGGCCAACUGGUCCGAUACUGACGCUGAGGUGCGAAAGCGUGGGGAGCAAACAGGAUUAGAUACCCCGGUAGUCCCUGUCUCUUAUAC